CAGCAAUUCUACAUUUUCUCCAGUGGUGCCCCACACCACCAAGAACAGUGCGUCCCUGUGUCUGGCUGAGCAGCUCAGCAUCCUAUGUGUGCGGACAACAGCAUCCCUGACUCACGGGCUCCAGAGGCUGCAGCAGAAUUCAGGAGGCUGAGGCAAGAGGAUCAAAAGUUCAGAGCCAGUCUCAGCAACAGAGAAAGUUCAAGGCUGGUUUAGGUGAGUGGCACUAUUUGGAGGUGUGGCCUUGUUGGAGUAGGCGUGGCUCCAUUGGAAUGGGCGUGGCCUUGUUGGAGUAGGCAUGUCACUGUGGGUUAAGACCCUAA